CCUUGCUGUCUGCCAGUUGAAGUGCAGCCUUCUCCAAUGUGUCUUGAGGGAAGUCUCAAUCUGUACUAUGCAAGCGACCAGCUGUCUGCUGAUGGGAGAGCUGUGCAACUUCUCUGGCCCAGAAGAACAAGAGCAAAGGGGCUGGUUUCAGAGAGGCUUGAGAAACGCUGCUGUGUAAUUGGAUGAUUGGAGCACUUUAAUUAAGGCAGGGCGAUGAACGUGCUGUGCGUUUCAGGUUGACCGUAGUAGGGUGAGGCAGUAGUCUGCUGCGUAAAGCUAGAAGGAGAAUCUAAU
rnacentral:lncRNA from 1 species